AGAGAGAGACUGCUCCGAGGGGACUGCUGCUUCUUCCCUGUGUGACUGGAAGAAAAGACAGAUACACGGGAACUGAACCAGAAGAAAGGGAGCUGUGCUCACCAUGGAUCUCGCCUGCUGGGUCAUAGCUUUCCACCACCAACCCAAGCUAGAAACGCCGAUUUCCACAUGCAGAUGUGCCUAAGCGGAUCCCUCAGACACAUCCAUCUAGAGGCUAAUCUUCCCAAAGAACAUAAAUUGAGCUGGAGGUUGCAAGUAUAAAACCAGAUCAACCACGUGGUUGUUUUUAAUCCCCUUCCAGCUUGUGUUGUAAGUAUUUGAUGUGAAAAGCUCAAAUUGUCCAUUUCUGGCACGUAUUUUGAAGUCUUCUCCCAGAAAUAAAGGCUCAUUGUGCA